rnacentral:rRNA from 1 species
CACGUAGGGCGCGAGCGUUGUCCGGAAUUAUUGGGCGUAAAGAGCUCGUAGGCGGCUCGUUGCGUCGGCUGUGAAAACCCGCAGCUCAACUGUGGGCUUGCAGCCGAUACGGGCGGGCUAGGAUUCGGUAGGGGAGACUGGAAUUCCUGGUGUAGCGGUGAAAUGCGUAGAUAUCAGGAGGAACACCGGUGGUGUAGACGGCUUACUGGACCACGGCUGACACUGAGGCACGAAAGCGUGGGUAGCAAACAGG